AACAUAAUUCUCCGGGCAUCGGAGUAUUAUUAAAUAUUUAUAGGAUAGAGAUGGGCUCGNAUGACAUUAGCUAGUUGGUAGGGUAACGGCUUACCAAGGCGACGAUGUCUAGGGGCUCUGAGAGGAGAAUCCCCCACACUGGUACUGAGACACGGACCAGACUCCUACGGGAGGCAGCAGUAAGGAAUAUUGGUCAAUGGGCGGAAGCCUGAACCAGCCAUGCCGCGUGCAGGAUGACUGCCCUAUGGGUUGUAAACUGCUUUUGUCCAGGAAUAAACCUAAAUACGUGUAUUUAGCUGAAUGUACUGGAAGAAUAAGGAUCGGCUAACUCC
rnacentral:rRNA from 1 species